AUGUGAGGGCAAGCUGGCUGUGACAUCUAUCACCCCAUCGAUCACCAGGGUUGAUUAACCUGAUCUGGCUGGUUAGGUGGGUAUCUGCUCUGGGUGUGGUGGCUCACCCCU
rnacentral:snRNA from 1 species